rnacentral:tRNA from 1 species
GCUCAAUAGCUUUGUCGGUAAAGCACUCGUCUAGCAUGCAAGAGUCGUGGGUUCAAACCCCCCGGAGCA